rnacentral:rRNA from 1 species
GAUGCACGCUGGCGGCGUGCCUAAUACAUGCAAGUCAAGCGAACGGACGAGAAGCUUGCUUCUCUGAUGUUAGCGGCGGACGGGUGAGUAACACGUGGAUAACCUACCUAUAAGACUGGGAUAACUUCGGGAAACCGGAGCUAAUACCGGAUAAUAUUUUGAACCGCAUGGUUCAAAAGUGAAAGACGGUCUUGCUGUCACUUAUAGAUGGAUCCGCGCUGCAUUAGCUAGUUGGUAAGGUAACGGCUUACCAAGGCAACGAUGCAUAGCCGACCUGAGAGGGUGAUCGGCCACACUGGAACUGAGACACGGUCCAGACUCCUACGGGAGGCAGCAGUAGGGAAUCUUCCGCAAUGGGCGAAAGCCUGACGGAGCAACGCCGCGUGAGUGAUGAAGGUCUUCUGAUCGUAAAACUCUGUUAUUAGGGAAGAACAUAUGUGUAAGUAACUGUGCACAUCUUGACGGUACCUAAUCAGAAAGCCACGGCUAACUACGUG